UACGUAGGGUGCAAGCGUUAAUCGGAAUUACUGAGCGUAAAGCGUGCGCAGGCGGUGAUGUAAGUCAGGUGUGAAAUCCCCGGGCUUAACCUGGGAACUGCAUUUGUGACUGCAUCGCUGGAGUGCGGCAGAGGGGGAUGGAAUUCCGCGUGUAGCAGUGAAAUGCGUAGAUAUGCGGAGGAACACCGAUGGCGAAGGCAGUCCCCUGGGCCUGUACUGACGCUCAUGCACGAAAGCGUGGGGAGCAAACAGG
rnacentral:rRNA from 1 species